UACCUGCGGAGGGAUCAUUACUGAGUUUACGCUCUACAACCCUUUGUGAACAUACCUAUAACUGUUGCUUCGGCGGGUAGGGUCUCCGCGACACUCCCGGCCUCCCGCCCCCGGGCGGGUCGGCGCCCGCCGGAGGAUAACCAAACUCUGAUGUAACGACGUUUCUUCUGAGUGGUACAAGCAAAUAAUCAAAACUUUUAACAACGGAUCUCUUGGUUCUGGCAUCGAUGAAGAACGCAGCGAAAUGCGAUAAGUAAUGUGAAUUGCAGAAUUCAGUGAAUCAUCGAAUCUUUGAACGCACAUUGCGCCCGCCAGCAUUCUGGCGGGCAUGCCUGUUCGAGCGUCAUUUCAACCCUCAAGCUCUGCUUGGUGUUGGGGCCCUACAGCUGAUGUAGGCCCUCAAAGGUAGUGGCGGACCCUCCCGGAGCCUCCUUUGCGUAGUAACUUUACGUCUCGCACUGGGAUCCGGAGGGACUCUUGCCGUAAAACCCCCAAUUCUCCAAAGGUUGACCUCGGAUCAGGUAGGAAUACCCGCUGAACUUAAGCAUAUCAAAG
rnacentral:rRNA from 1 species